UACGAAGGGGGUUAGCGUUGUUCGGAUUUACUGGGCGUAAAGCGCGUGUAGGCGGACUUGUAAGUUGGGGGUGAAAUCCCGAGGCUCAACCUCGGAACUGCCUCCAAAACUACAAGUCUGGAACAAGAUAGAGGCAAGUGGAAUUGCGAGUGUAGAGGUGAAAUUCGUAGAUAUUCGCAGGAACACCAGUGGCGAAGGCGACUUGCUGGAUCUUUGCUGACGCUGAGACGCGAAAGCGUGGGGAGCAAACAGG
rnacentral:rRNA from 1 species